GACGAACGCUGGCGGCGUGCUUAACACAUGCAAGUCGAACGGAAAGGCCCUGCUUGCAGGGUACUCGAGUGGCGAACGGGUGAGUAACACGUGGGUGAUCUGCCCUGCACUUCGGGAUAAGCCUGGGAAACUGGGUCUAAUACCGGAUAGGAGCCAUUUUUAGUGUGAUGGUUGGAAAGUUUUUUCGGUGUAGGAUGAGCUCGCGGCCUAUCAGCUUGUUAGUGGGGUAAUGGCCUACCAAGGCGGCGACGGGUAGCCGGCCUGAGAGGGUGGACGGCCACAUUGGGACUGAGAUACGGCCCAGACUCCUACGGGAGGCAGCAGUGGGGAAUAUUGCACAAGGGGCGCAAGCCUGAUGCAGCGACGCCGCGUGGGGGAUGACGGCCUUCGGGUUGUAAACUCCUUUCGCUAGGGACGAAGCUUUUUGUGACGGUACCUAGAGAAGAAGCACCGGCUAACUACGUG
rnacentral:rRNA from 1 species